GGGGGUACUGGAGUAGGGCUGUUGGGGGGGGGACUGGAGGACUGGAGAUGGGCUGGCUGGGGUACUGGAGGACUGGAGUUGGGCUGUUGGGAGGACUGGAGUAGGGCUGUUGAGGGUACUGGAGGACCAGAGUUGAGCUGUUGGGGGUACUGGAGGACUGGAGUUGGGCUGUUGGGGGGACUGGAGUAGGGAAACACUGGUAUAGGGGAUAGGGUGUCAGUUCAGACACAUUAUAUUACUAGGCUGGAUCUUCCACAUGCAGAUAACUUAGUUUGAGGAGAGAGUGUGUUCAUGGACUAAUUGCACUUGAAAAUAUAUAAAUUACAACACUACUCAUUCAGUUGUGGGCAGAAGACCAUAACACGCUAUAGGCCCGCAUCCUAAAGUUGUUCGUGCAAAUCUUCCAUUGAAAUGAAUGAAUGAUGAACGCAAGUGGAGUUGAGAUUGGGGUCCUGACUGUGUUUAAUACUUUGAUAGAUGUCAUAUUAUGGCACUGUGAUGUCAUAAUGCAGCCGAGCUAUAACUGAACUAUUCAAAUUAUUCAAGACAAGCUGGAAGCAAAGUGCUACCAUACGUUGAUCAUUUUGGCGUUGUUGUUGUCAUGGAAACAUAAAGCGGAAAAACAAGGCAGCAGAUUUCCCUUGACUGAUUCCAAACUCUCUAGUCGUUCAACAACGAUGACAAGUUGAAAACACGAAGAAAAAAAUAACUAAAGAGACUCAAAUAGAUUCAAAUAAUGACACAAUCAAUCAUGUUUUAUGCCAUAGUUCGAUAGUUGUUCACUCGUUUCCCUAUUCCUGAGGUAGCCCAGUUUUGAAUUGAUUUGAAUAAACGCUGCAUAGCUGGCCGUCAAAAACAACUCUUCCCUUUAACCUCUCAUCACGGUCAUAUAAAAAUACAUUAACAAACAAUAUUUUAUUCCAGAAGUACAAACAAACGCUUUUUAGAAAAUGACAUUUCUUUUAGAUGUCUCAUAAAAUACUCCUCCACUCCGGUAGAUGUUUCCCCUUGAGUAGAACUGUUACUUCUACUAGUUCAACGUUGGCAAACCCCGAAUGGGGAAAUGAUCUAGCCAGGGUAAACAAUGGUGGGAGGUGGUGGGGAUCCUCAGACCUCGGUGCCGUCGUUGUGGAGGUUGUUGUGGAGCUUGACCUCCAGGUUGACCUGCUUGACUUUCGCCCCUCCGUUGACCUUUGCGCCUCUGUUGACCUUGGAGUUGACGUUGUCGUAGUUCCGGUUGAUGUUGAUGUUCCUGACGGUGCAAUGUUUAGAGCUAAAGUUCUUCUCCAGGGUCCUCUCCAAACACACCUCUACUUUGGUGUUCAGAGGGUACUCCUCCGCCAUCUGGGGUGGCUUCUUACCAGCCGAUCGUCGGCACUUCCUGAAGAGUAAACAUGAAGCGAGCAGGACGAGGACCAAUAGGGUUAGUGCGGCCACGCCCCCGCCCACCGAACCGCCCAUCUGGGGGUUAAAGGUUGAGGCAGCGGGGACCUCGAGGUGGAGAGUCUUCAUGUUGGUUCCGUUCUUCGUCUGGUCACCCUCAUUGUCAUAUAUCAGAGACUGGUCUAGAGUGAGACGUCCGCUGUGGUCAACAAGGUCCCGGCGAGCACGGCUGUGGCCGAUGCUUUGGCUCAGCUGAUUGACCAGAUCCCGGCGAGUCCGCCCCCCGCCACUGCUGUGGGUGAGCUGAUAGGUCAGAGAACGCUGAAUCCUGGGGCCGGAUAUGGACUCUGGACCAAUCACGUAGAUCACCUGAAGGUACCACUGAUGCCCCGCCUCCACCUGUCAAUCAAAAGAGAGAGAG
ensembl:lncRNA